CAGUCGCCGCGGGAAUACGAAGGGGGCUAGCGUUGUUCGGAAUUACUGGGCGUAAAGCGCACGUAGGCGGAUAUUUAAGUCAGGGGUGAAAUCCCAGAGCUCAACUCUGGAACUGCCUUUGAUACUGGGUAUCUUGAGUAUGGAAGAGGUGAGUGGAAUUCCGAGUGUAGAGGUGAAAUUCGUAGAUAUUCGGAGGAACACCAGUGGCGAAGGCGGCUCACUGGUCCAUUACUGACGCUGAGGUGCGAAAGCGUGGGGAGCAAACAGGACUAGAGACCCCUGUAGUCCCUGUCUCUUAUAC
rnacentral:rRNA from 1 species